rnacentral:lncRNA from 1 species
UUUUUUACUCAAAUGGUCUUUAUUUUCCUAUCUGACAUUUCUAACAAAACGCCAGGUAGACGGAAUUAAAAAGAAUUCACCACACGAAGGGUAAACAAAACAGACCCUCAGGAACUCCCUGGCAAAGAUAUUCCCCUCCCCAGAUUGGCCCAGUUUCACCAGCAACUGGUCUCAGCUCAGCUUUAUGCCUUUCCACUGACACCCCCACCCCUCCAACAUUCUCGUGAUUCAGACCAGGAACUUCUGGGAUGAUUGUGUCCGUGUCUGAGGGAGGGGCACGCUGAAACCUGGGAACCUACUGGGCACCUCUAAUGCAGAUGAGAAAAACUUGAAUGUGAAACUAGAUCAGCCCCCGCUCUCACCCGAAGGUGCAGAGGCGCGGGACAUUAACCAGCAGCACGCGGGGAUGAAGUGACUCAGGCCAUUCUCCUCCCCACUCCCCAGGGCGGGUGCACGCCCCAGACCCUCCUCCCAGGCCCCACACCCACGCAAGGCGACAGGAAGCUCCCCACGCCUGCCCCAUGACGCAACGAUGACCGCUUACACAAGUAUGUCAGUGGAGGGGGAAGGGGAGUGCCUGGAAUUCUCCGAGGUUGGAAACGCAAAACCAACUCUUGAAAAACCUUGAAAAGGGCCACCACAGCCCCCAGUACAAAAUCAAGUCCGACCCUGAGAUCUAAAAAACAAAACAAAACAAAAAUACAAAACAAAAACCCAAGCCUCCCUUCUCCCAGUCCAGAAGGAGAGCGAAAGGUUCACGUCCCAGUCCACUAAGACAGCACCUCUGGGCGCAGGUCUCUGCGGAAGGCGCCCGCGCCCCCGGCUCAGACUCCUCGGUGCCGUCGCUGCACACUGAAGGCGAUGGCUCCCCGGGGACAGAGCGAGGGUCAGAGGGGAGGGCGGGCGGCAAGGACACUUCGGGCUCGAGGGCCUCUACCUUGGCCGAGAGGUAGAGCUCCCGGGCGCUGCGCAUGACCAGCGACAGCUGCAGACUCCGGUGCAGCCGCAGGCCACCGCGCUGCAUGCGGGAGUGAUACAUCUUCCACACCGACAGGGUCAUGAUGCGCUGUGCCUCCUUCUGCACUUCCAUGGCGACUCGACGGCGACGGCGGCGUGGGCUCCCGGGACGGACAGAACAGGCAGCAGGUGCACUCCGGACAACGAGCUCGCUCACGCCUCUCUCCACAAACCAACCCACGCGGUGACACUGCUAGGAC